UACGUAGGGGGCAAGCGUUGUCCGGAUUUAUUGGGCGUAAAGAGCGUGUAGGCGGCCAGACAGGUCCGUUGUGAAAACUCGAGGCUCAACCUCGAGAUGUCGAUGGAAACCGUCUGGCUAGAGUCCGGAAGAGGAGUGUGGAAUUCCUGGUGUAGCGGUGGAAUGCGCAGAUAUCAGGAGGAACACCCAUAGCGAAGGCAGCUCGCUGGGACGGUACUGACGCUAAGGCGCGAAAGCGUGGGGAGCGAACAGG
rnacentral:rRNA from 1 species